rnacentral:rRNA from 1 species
AACAUGACGCUGGCGGCAGGCUUACACAUGCAAGUCGAGCGGGGGAAGGUAGCUUGCUACUGGACCUAGCGGCGGACGGUGAGUAAUGCUUAGGAAUCUGCCUAUUAGUGGGGGACAACAUCUCGAAAGGGAUGCUAAUACCGCAUACGUCCUACGGGAGAAAGCGGGGGAUCUUCGGACCUUGCGCUAAUAGAUGAGCCUAAGUCGGAUUAGCUAGUUGGUGGGGUAAAGGCCUACCAAGGCGACGAUCUGUAGCGGGUCUGAGAGGAUGAUCCGCCACACUGGGACUGAGACACGGCCCAGACUCCUACGGGAGGCAGCAGUGGGGAAUAUUGGACAAUGGGCGCAAGCCUGAUCCAGCCAUGCCGCGUGUGUGAAGAAGGCCUUAUGGUUGUAAAGCACUUUAAGCGAGGAGGAGGCUACUUUAGAUAAUACCUAGAGAUAGUGGACGUUACUCGCAGAAUAAGCACCGGCUAACUCUGUGCCAGCAGCCGCGGUAAUACAGAGGGUUGCAGCGUUAUC